GUUAGGAACGGUAAAACUUAGAAACAACUAGGUUAGGAGCAAUUUCAUUAGGUUAGGUUAAAACACACAGUAAGGCUUGUUUAGGUUAGGAAGGUAAAAGUUUAAAAAAUUUAGAUAAAGUUAGGAACAAUUUGGUAAGGUUAGGUUAAGUUAGGAGUGGCUACAUUACAAAAGAUAAGAAACAGUCAGGUUAGGAGUGAUCUGGUUAGGUUAGGAAGGAUAUACAAAAGAUUACGUUUGCUUAGGUUAGGAAGGGUAAAAAAUAAGAAACAGUCAGGUUAGGAGUGAUCUGGUUAGGUUAGGAAGGAUAUACGAAAGAUUACAUUUGCUUAGGUUAGGAAGGG